rnacentral:rRNA from 1 species
AUUGAACGCUGGCGGCAUGCCUUACACAUGCAAGUCGAACGGUAACAGGUCUUCGGAUGCUGACGAGUGGCGAACAGGUGAGUAAUACAUCGGAACGUGCCUAGUAGUGGGGGAUAACUACUCGAAAGAGUGGCUAAUACCGCAUGAGAUCUACGGAUGAAAGCAGGGGAUCGCAAGACCUUGUGCUACUAGAGCGGCCGAUGGCAGAUUAGGUAGUUGGUGGGAUAAAUGCUUACCAAGCCGACGAUCUGUAGCUGGUCUGAGAGGACGAUCAGUCACACUGGGACUGAGACACGGCCCAGACUCCUACGGGAGGCAGCAGUGGGGAAUUUUGGACAAUGGGCGCAAGCCUGAUCCAGCAAUGCCGCGUGCAGGAUGAAGGCCUUCGGGUUGUAAACUGCUUUUGUACGGAACGAAAAGCCCCGGGUUAAUACCCUGGGGUCAUGACGGUACCGUAAGAAUAAGCACCGGCUAACUACGUGCCAGCCGCCGCAGUAA